ACCCUUAGGAUCCUAUAAUUAAUAAGAAAUAGCUACAGUGAUCCACCUAAAUCAACAGGAGAGGUUCAUCAGCAAUUCCCAGGUGUAGAUCAUGGUGCAGAUUAUUAAAGACAUGAAGGAGUUCACAGCAUUUUUGAAAGCGGCUGGACCCAAACUUGUAGUUGUGGAAUUUUCAGCAAAAUGGUGCGGUCCCUGCAAACUCAUGGGUCCUGUUUUUCAUGCAAUGUCUCUGAAAUACAAAAAUGUAAUGUUUGCUAUCGUGGAUGUGGAUGAAUCAGAGGAGCUGGCUGAAUCUUGUAACAUCCAAGCAAUACCCACAUUUCAGAUGUUCAAGCAAACCCAGAAGGAAAAUGGUCUGAAGACCAUUGAGUUGGGUGAAAUAAGCCAGACUCCUAGAGAUGACCAUCACAUGUUCUCCCUAAUGUGUGGAAUCUUAAAAAGAUGACAAGAAUGUAGAGAAGAGACAUUAUCAGACACGAGGAAGGAAAUAAGAGUGAGGGAAUCAAGAUGUAAGGGUAACUCUAUUGUCAAGACUCAAAAGAGCACUUUGCUGUUAUAGAAGUGGAUUCAAGGUCAAGCAG